CCCUUAGAUGUUCUGGGCCGCACGCGUGCUACACUGAGUGGAUCAGCGGGUCAGGUUGCGCGAAAGCGUUUCCUAAUCUUUAAAUCCGCUCGUGAUGGGGAUUGACGGUUGCAAUUUUCUGUCAUGAACGAGGAAUACCUUGUAAGCGCGGGUCAUCAUCCCGCGCUGAAUACGUCCCUGCCCUUUGUACACACCGCCCGUCGCUCCUACCGAUUGAGUGGUCCGGUGAGGCUUUGGGAUCUGAGCGGAAAGAGCGUUUCGCUGUUUCUGCUCGGAAAACUCAGUCGAACCUUAUCAUUUAGAGGAAGGAGAAGUCGUAACC
rnacentral:rRNA from 1 species